GCAAGUCGAGGGGUAACAGGAGUGCUUGCACUCGCUGACGACCGGCGCACGGGUGCGUAACGCGUAUAGAAUCUACCUUGUAGUAAGGGAUAGCCCAGAGAAAUUUGGAUUAAUACCUUAUAGUAUCAAAAAGCAGCAUUGUUUUAUGAUUAAAGAUUUAUUGCUAUAAGAUGACUAUGCGUUCUAUUAGCUAGUUGGUAUGGUAACGGCAUACCAAGGCUACGAUAGAUAGGGGUCCUGAGAGGGAGAUCCCCCACACUGGUACUGAGACACGGACCAGACUCCUACGGGAGGCAGCAGUGAGGAAUAUUGGACAAUGGAGGCAACUCUGAUCCAGCCAUGCCGCGUGUAGGAAGACUGCCCUAUGGGUUGUAAACUACUUUUAUAGAGGAAGAAACAAUAUUACGUGUAAUAUUCUGACGGUACUCUACGAAUAAGGAUCGGCUAACUCCGUGCCAGCAGCCGCGGUAAUACGGAGGAUCCAAGCGUUAUCCGGAAUCAUUGGGUUUAAAGGGUCCGUAGGCGGGUUUGUAAGUCAGUGGUGAAAGUUUUCGGCUCAACCGGAAAAUUGCCAUUGAUACUGCAAGUCUUGAAUUAUUGUGAAGUGGUUAGAAUGUGUAGUGUAGCGGUGAAAUGCAUAGAUAUUACACAGAAUACCGAUUGCGAAGGCAGAUCACUAACAAUUAAUUGACGCUAAGGGACGAAAGCGUGGGUAGCGAACAGGAUUAGAUACCCUGGUAGUCCACGCCGUAAACGAUGGUUACUAGCUGUUCGGACUUCGGUCUGAGUGGCUAAGCGAAAGUGAUAAGUAACCCACCUGGGGAGUACGUUCGCAAGAAUGAAACUCAAG
rnacentral:rRNA from 1 species